rnacentral:rRNA from 1 species
UACGUAGGGUGCAAGCGUUGUCCGGAAUUAUUGGGCGUAAAGAGCUCGUAGGCGGCCACCGCAAGUCGACUGUGAAAUCUCCGGGCUUAACCCGGAAAGGUCAGCCGAUACUGCGGGGCUAGAGUGCAGAAGGGGCAACUGGAAUUCUCGGUGUAGCGGUGAAAUGCGUAGAUAUCGAGAGGAACACCUGCGGCGAAGGCGGGUUGCUGGGCUGACACUGACGCUGAUGUGCGAAAGCUAGGGGAGCGAACGGG